rnacentral:rRNA from 1 species
UACGUAGGGGGCAAGCGUUGUCCGGAAUCCUUGGGCGUCAAGAGCGUGUAGGCGGCCCGUUAAGUCCGCUGUGAAAGUCCAGGGCUCAACCCUGGGAUGCCGGUGGAUACUGUCGGGCUCGAGUCCGGAAGAGGAGUGUGGAAUUCCUGGUGUAGCGGUGAAAUGCGCAGAUAUCAGGAGGAACACCGGUGGCGAAGGCGGAUCUCUGGGCCUUACCUGACGCUCAGGUGCGAAAGCUAGGGGAGCGAACAGG